AUCAGAAUCACCUGGGGAGCUUGUUAGCAAAACUGAUGGUCAAAUCCCAUACCUAAAAAUACCAAUUCCCAGAGUCUGAUUUAUUUAACAAGCUCCCAAGUGAUUCUUAA
rnacentral:miRNA from 1 species